rnacentral:rRNA from 1 species
AACGAACGCUGGCGGCAGGCUUAACACAUGCAAGUCGAGCGCCCCGCAAGGGGAGCGGCAGACGGGUGAGUAACGCGUGGGAAUCUACCCAUCUCUACGGAAUAACGCAUGGAAACGUGUGCUAAUACCGUAUACGUCCUUCGGGAGAAAGAUUUAUCGGAGAUGGAUGAGCCCGCGUUGGAUUAGCUAGUUGGUGGGGUAAAGGCCUACCAAGGCGACGAUCCAUAGCUGGUCCGAGAGGAAGAUCAGCCACACUGGGACUGAGACACGGCCCAAGCUCCCAAGGGAGGGAGGAGGGGGGAAUUAUGGGAAAGGGGAGCAAGCCCGGAUCAACCAUGCCGGGGGGGGUAAGAAGGCCCUAGGGUUGUAAAGCUCUUUCACCGGUGAAGAUAAUGACGGUAACCGGAGAAGAAGCCCCGGCUAACUUCGUGCCAGCCGCCGCCGUAACAC